rnacentral:rRNA from 1 species
UACGUAGGGUGCGAGCGUUAAUCGGAAUUACUGGGCGUAAAGCGCACGUAGGCGGCUUUUUAAGUCAGGGGUGAAAUCCUGGAGCUCAACUCCAGAACUGCCUUUGAUACUGGGAAGCUUGAGUCCGGGAGAGGUGAGUGGAACUCCGAGUGUAGAGGUGAAAUUCGUAGAUAUUCGGAAGAACACCAGUGGCGAAGGCGGCUCACUGGCCCGGUACUGACGCUGAGGUGCGAAAGCGUGGGGAGCAAACAGG